GCCCGAGUGGUUCGUCCGCAAUUCGCCGUCGAGCGCCGCGAGACAAGGAUUCGGACGGUAGACGCGCGUGAUUCAGGGUCACGUGGCUCUUGCGGCCGUGGAGGUUCGAGUCCUCUCUCGGGCA
rnacentral:tRNA from 1 species